AGGACGAACGCUGGCGGCGUGCUUCACACAUGCAAGUCGAACGGGGCUCAUUCGGUGGUAACACCGGAGAAGGCCUAGUGGCGAACGGGUGCGUAACACGUGAAGAACCUGCCCCGAAGACUGGGAUAACAGCGGGAAACCGCUGCUAAUACCGGAUGACCCCACCAGGCCGCAUGGCCAGGUGAGGAAAUGGGCCUACCGCUUCGGGAGGGCUUCGCGGCCUAUCAGCUUGUUGGUGGGGUAACGGCCUACCAAGGCUACGACGGGUAGCUGGUCUGAGAGGACGACCAGCCACACUGGGACUGAGACACGGCCCAGACUCCUACGGAGGCAGCAGUGGGGAAUCUUGCGCAAUGGGCGAAAGCCUGACGCAGCAACGCCGCGUGAGGGAUGAAGGUCUUCGGGUUGUAAACCUCUUUCGAGCAGGGACGAUUGUGACGGUACCUGCAGAAGAAGCUCCGGCCAACUACGUGCCAGCAGCCGCGGU
rnacentral:rRNA from 1 species